rnacentral:rRNA from 1 species
GUGUCAGCAGCCGCGGUAAUACGGAGGGUGCGAGCGUUGUUCGGAAUCACUGGGCGUAAAGCGCGUGUAGGCGGCCUUCUAAGUCUGAUGUGAAAGCCCGGGGCUUACCCCCGGAAGUGCAUUGGAAACUGGGAGGCUAGAGUACCGGAGAGGAAGGUGGAAUUCCUGGUGUAGCGGUGAAAUGCGUAGAUAUCAGGAGGAACACCGGUGGCGAAGGCGGCCUUCUGGACGGAUACUGACGCUGAGACGCGAAAGCGUGGGGAGCAAACAGGAUUAGAUACCCUCGUAGUCC